GGACCUGUGGCGGAAUUGGCAGACGCAGCGGCCUUAAAAGCCGCCGCCGUGAAAGCGGCGUGAGGGUUCGAGCCCCUCCGGGUCCA
rnacentral:tRNA from 1 species